ACGGGUGUAGUUCAGUUGGUAGAGCACUAGUCUCCAAAACUAGGUGUCGGGAGUUCGAGCCUCUCCGCCCGUGCAA
rnacentral:tRNA from 1 species